UGUUCAACGUGUCGCAGUUAACUUAAAUUCAACUUUGACUUGCGCUCGGGUUUAUAAUACAAAAUAGUAAAGCUUUGCUGUGAUGAGAAAGCAGAACGAGAGAGAAUUCUACGUUUCUCGAACACAACGAGCGAUAUCACCAGGAGCGACGGCGGCCUAGGAGAGAAACUUGCAACUGCGAGGGCGCAAGACUAAAUCGGGCCGGCGGGAUGAAGAAAGAAAGAAGCGUGGAGAGAGAAGCGCAUGUCAAA